CGGUGGCCCACAGGGACAACACGCAAGCACAAUUACAAAUAUGAUUACAAACAUACAAAAUUCGUAUACAAACAUAUAAAAUUCGAGACAAAGCAAAUAACUUUCAAGACAAACACAUGCAAACUGCAACUUCAUUUGAACACAACACAUGUUCACAAGUAAACAAGUACAAUAAUCGAAGCAAAUUACAAGAUUUCGAAACGGAAAUAGGUGGCAGCACUGUACCUUUUGUUUUCACGCGACGCCAACAACCCGCUCUUGUAUCUUGUAUCCUUUCCUCCCUCUCUUGUAUUUCACAAGCACUCGAUUUAUAUUUGAAGUACACCGAUGCAAGUGAGUACAAUUUGACAUAUGAGAGUUCGAGUGAUGGUGAAGUCGACAAUCCAGAGCUGCCAGACUUAUCAUUUCAUGCACGUAGGUUUCAUUCGGAAUGCCUUGAAUGAGAGUCGAUGAAAUAUUUUUUGAUUGAAUUAAGUGUUGCUGUUAUAUGAUAGGCAUUAUGUGGUUUUCAUAUGUUCAUGCAGAGUAUAACCCUUCUUAGUCUGAAGAGUAUGCAGUACUGCCAAGUGUGAUGAGGUUCUGAUUCCUAAAUAAAGAAGUUGGACAGCAUUUGUUAAUAAAUUCAUCAUUCAUUAAAAAUAAAUGAAGGAAACAACCUAAUACUGCCAUUACUAUUGAACCAUUUUGAAAUGUUAUUUACACGUAACAAAUAGCUUCGGUAUGUGAUUGCUUGCAUAAAGACAUGACGUAACCUUUCUCUGUCAAUCGAAAAAAGCGUGUGUGCCUAGGUCCCUGAUUAUCUGUGUAAUUUAUUUUAUUACAUUAACACUGUGGAUCUGAGAUGGUCGCAAACUUUGAUUUGUAGAGGUGUAUAAACAGUUUCAAUAUCUUUUCACAAAUCCAGCGAAAGUGUCACAAGUAUGAGCCCUACAGCGGGGAAGACCCUGACGAUCUGCUAUUGCUAGAACCACAGCCCGCACAAGGUUGACCAUGCGCCUCUGACUGAAGAAGGAGUUAGUGGUGUGACAGGAGAACAAGUUGACGGGCUUCAGUAUUUGAUAGAGAAUGACUGCCUUUGUGUGGCAACAGUUCAGGGCAACAUCAUCCUCUACCACAAAAAAGUGUGUCAUCCAUAUUCACACAAUAUUAUAUAUUAUAUUCAUUAUAUAUCAUAUAUAUAUAUAUAUAUUAUAUAUCAUAUUCACACAUAUAUCGUGAACAUUUGACAUGUGUACACUAGUAUACAAUGUUUGUGUUUUACAUUAUAACCUACUGCAUUUAUGUUUAUGUUCUGCUACAGUUCUGUUCCUACACGUUUAUAUGUAUCUCUGGCAAGAGUUGUGGAUUUUCGAAUUGAUUAAAUUGAGGAAAGAUCAAUGUGUAUUUCAAGUAUGUUGUAUGUGUUAUUUUAGGUGGAGGUCGUUGGAAGUAUUAACACUGCAAUCAGAGCAAUAACACACAAUGUGUGUGUGUGUGUGUACAGCAUAUAUUUAUAUUUUGUCAUAUACAAUUUGUUAUCUAUAGCUAUGUGUUAUUAUCUAUAACUGAUAUGUCUUAAUCUCAACAGUAAAUAUAUUCAUGCUAUUAAAUUGUAUUGUGUUGAAAUGUAUUGAAUUGAUUUGUAUUUGGUUUUGUAUUGAAUAAAUUGUGAUGUUAUUCAUUAUUAA
rnacentral:lncRNA from 1 species